AUUCCAGCUCCAAUAGCGUACAUUAAAGUUGUUGCAGUUAAAAAGCUCGUAGUUGGAUUUCUGGUGUCGCAGUGCUUCCGCGUGUUUAAUUACAUGUCGAGUUGUGUUUGCGUCGCCAUCUUUUAGCAGCACCUUCCUGGCAUUAGGUUGUUGGGUUGGUAAUGCUAAUCGUUUACUGUGAAGAAAUUAGAGUGUUCAAAGCAGGCUUAUGCCGUUGAAUACGUUAGCAUGGAAUAAUGAGAUAGGACCUUGGUACUAUUUUGUUGGUUUGCAUACCAAAUUAAUGAUCAACAGGAACAGUUUGAGGAUAUUCGUAUGAACAUGUCAGAGGUGAAAUUCUUGGAUUUUGAUCAGACGAACUACUGCGAAAGCAUUUAUCAAGGAUGUUUUCAUCA
rnacentral:rRNA from 1 species